rnacentral:rRNA from 1 species
UGGGGAAUUUUGGACAAUGGGCGAAAGCCUGAUCCAGCAAUGCCGCGUGUGUGAAGAAGGCCUUCGGGUUGUAAAGCACUUUUGUCCGGAAAGAAAUCCUUGGCUCUAAUACAGUCGGGGGAUGACGGUACCGGAAGAAUAAGCACCGGCUAACUACGUGCCAGCAGCCGCGGUAAUACGUAGGGUGCAAGCGUUAAUCGGAAUUACUGGGCGUAAAGCGUGCGCAGGCGGUUUGCUAAGACCGAUGUGAAAUCCCCGGGCUCAACCUGGGAACUGCAUUGGUGACUGGCAGGCUAGAGUAUGGCAGAGGGGGGUAGAAUUCCACGUGUAGCAGUGAAAUGCGUAGAGAUGUGGAGGAAUACCGAUGGCGAAGGCAGCCCCCUGGGCCAAUACUGACGCUCAUGCACGAAAGCGUGGGGAGCAAACAGGAUUAGAUACCCUGGUAGUCCCACGCCCUAAACGAUGUCAACUAGUUGUUGGGGAUUCAUUUCCUUAGUAACGUAGCUAACGCGUGAAGUUGACCGCCUGGGGAGUACGGUCGCAAGAUUAAAACUCAAAGGAAUUGACGGGUCAUAGCUG